UCCAAGGGAGAAGCUUGCUGUCUUGCGUGU
rnacentral:piRNA from 1 species